GGCGUCGCCUUCCCCGUGCGCACGAGCUCCGGCGCGAGGUACCCCAUGGUCCCGACCACGUGAGUCGUCUGAGGGUCGGUGCCAUGGUCGUACAGUCUUGCCAGUCCAAAGUCGCCUAGCCGGCCGUUCAUCUCGUGGUCGAGCAGCACGUUGCUCGCCUUUACGUCCCGGUGGAUGACGACCUGCUCCCAGUCCUCGUGCAGGUACAGGAGGCUCGCCGCGACGCCCUUGACGAUCCGGUACCUCUCGUGCCACGACAGCACCGGCACUUGCUGGUCGUACAGGUACUUGUCAAGGCUCCCGUUCGCCAUGUAGUCGUACACCAAGAUGAGCUCGCCUUUGCGCCUGCAGUAGCCUAGCAGCUGCACGAGGUUCCGGUGCCGGAGGCGGCCGAUGCUCACCACCUCCGCGACGAACUCCCUGACGCCCUGCCUGGAAUCAUGC
rnacentral:lncRNA from 1 species